rnacentral:rRNA from 1 species
UACGUAGGGUGCGAGCGUUGUCCGGAUUUACUGGGCGUAAAGGGCGCGUAGGCGGCGUGUUAAGUCACUUGUGAAAUCUCUAAGCUUAACUUAGAACGGUCAAGUGAUACUGAUGUGCUAGAGUGCAGAAGGGGCAACCGGAAUUCUUGGUGUAGCGGUGAAAUGCGUAGAUAUCAAGAGGAACACCUGAGGUGAAGACGGGUUGCUGGGCUGACACUGACGCUGAGGCGCGAAAGCUAGGGUAGCAAACGGG